rnacentral:tRNA from 1 species
GCGCCCGUAGCUCAGCUGGAUAGAGCGCCGGACUACGAAUCCGUAGGUCGGGGGUUCGAAUCCCUCCGGGCGCGCCA